rnacentral:lncRNA from 10 species
GAGGAUUGGGAUAUUCCGACUCCUUAAGGGCCUGGCGCACAUAAGGUGUGACCUUUUCAUUCCCGUUGUUAUGGAGGGCCACAUCUGCCAGAGCCUGGAGUCUGCGAAGGCCGGGACCCGGUUCCCCGGCCCACAGUGGGGGUGUGCAAACCCGAGAGAACUGGGUUGCAAAUUCGUGAAGAAUCAGCAUCAUGUUUGGCAGCUGAGUAUUGGAGCCAGGAGCCUGCCAUGAGGUUUUGAGAACAGAGUGCUGUUUUAGAGCUGGCAGCAGCAUCUCAGCCCAAGAGAAGGUUAUAUUCCCAGAGGAUGUCAGUCCCAAGGACCAGUAGCUGCCAUCAGUUUGGAUUCUGAAAACUAACUGGCAUCAACACUGGGUGUAGAAACAUGCUUGCCUUAUGUAUCAGAGGACAUGCUCAGCAGAUCCAAGAGAUAUAUUUGGCAACUUUUUCUAGAAAAGGCACAUUGGGUAUCAUUCAUUACAUUCUUGAGUUUUUUUGGGUUUUUUUUUUUUUUUUUGAGACAGUCUUGCUGUAUUGCCCAGGCUGGAGUGUGGUGGCACAAUCACAGCUCAUUGCAUCCUCAAUCACCCAGGCCUAAGCAAUCCUCCCACCUUGUAGCUGGGACUACAGCUCACAGCACACCUGGCUAAAAUUUUUUUUUUGUUGAGACGGAUUCUCUAUGUUGCCCAGGCUGGUCUCAGGCUCCUGGGCUCAGAUGGUCCUCCUGCCUCAGCUUCCAAAGGCACAGGCCAAG